CAGGAGAAGUUCUUCAAACCGCUUCACAUAAAGAAACUAAGCUGUGCACAUAAUAAUGCUGAAAUAUUUAUUCAUGAACUAAAAAAUAUUUCCACACGGACAUGCAUGAGAAAAGUGGAGAAAGAUAUGCAAAAGCUAGAAAAAAUCUGCUACAUUUUGAAGAAAUCUUCAUCCAACGGCAAAAGCUGCUUAAAGAAGGCAAAAACCAAUUUCUCACAAUUUAAAGAGAGUCUGCAAGAAUUCCUGAGAUGGGUCAAUGAGAAGCUCAACUGCAGCAGCAUUGGGAGAAGCAAUUCAGCUUUGUACCUGGAUGGAAAAUGCAGCUGCCACGACCCCUGGAAAUCCCACAGAGCCUUGGGCUAGGGAAGAGCUACACAGGCAGUGAGGGUCUGGCUGGGAAGGGGAGGGGGAGAUGUGGCUGUUAUAAAAUAGAGUCUUUGCUAAUUAAUGGAAAUAUUCUGAUGCUAAUUAAUGUUAAAUUUUGAUGGCUGAUGCAAGGAGGCAAA